GCCUGCGUAGCGCAGUCGGUAGCGACUUUGUUGUUAUACCACACCAGUCCUGGGUUCAAACCCGUUGUAGGUA